rnacentral:tRNA from 1 species
UCCCUGGAGGACUAGUGGUUAGGCCAUGGUGCUCUCACCACCGUGGCCCGGGUUCAAUUCCCAGCCAGGGAA